CGGGACACGUGGUAUCCUGUCUGAAUAUGGGGGGACCAUCCUCCAAGGCUAAAUACUCCUGACUGACCGAUAGUGAACCAGUACCGUGAGGGAAAGGCGAAAAGAACCCCGGCGAGGGGAGUGAAAAAGAACCUGAAACCGUGUACGUACAAGCAGUGGGAGCCUCUUUAUGGGGUGACUGCGUACCUUUUGUAUAAUGGGUCAGCGACUUAUAUUCUGUAGCAAGGUUAACCGAAUAGGGGAGCCGAAGGGAAACCGAGUCUUAACUGGGCGUUAAGUUGCAGGGUAUAGACCCGAAACCCGGUGAUCUAGCCAUGGGCAGGUUGAAGGUUGGGUAACACUAACUGGAGGACCGAACCGACUAAUGUUGAAAAAUUAGCGGAUGACUUGUGGCUGGGGGUGAAAGGCCAAUCAAACCGGGAGAUAGCUGGUUCUCCCCGAAAGCUAUUUAGGUAGCGCCUCGUGAAUUCAUCUCCGGGGGUAGAGCACUGUUUCGGCAAGGGGGUCAUCCCGACUUACCAACCCGAUGCAAACUGCGAAUACCGGAGAAUGUUAUCACGGGAGACACACGGCGGGUGCUAACGUCCGUCGUGAAGAGGGAAACAACCCAGACCGCCAGCUAAGGUCCCAAAGUCAUGGUUAAGUGGGAAACGAUGUGGGAAGGCCCAGACAGCCAGGAUGUUGGCUUAGAAGCAGCCAUCAUUUAAAGAAAGCGUAAUAGCUCACUGGUCGAGUCGGCCUGCGCGGAAGAUGUAACGGGGCUAAACCAUGCACCGAAGCUGCGGCAGCGACACUAUGUGUUGUUGGGUAGGGGAGCGUUCUGUAAGCCUGUGAAGGUGUACUGUGAGGUAUGCUGGAGGUAUCAGAAGUGCGAAUGCUGACAUAAGUAACGAUAAAGCGGGUGAAAAGCCCGCUCGCCGGAAGACCAAGGGUUCCUGUCCAACGUUAAUCGGGGCAGGGUGAGUCGACCCCUAAGGCGAGGCCGAAAGGCGUAGUCGAUGGGAAACAGGUUAAUAUUCCUGUACUUGGUGUUACUGCGAAGGGGGGACGGAGAAGGCUAUGUUGGCCGGGCGACGGUUGUCCCGGUUUAAGCGUGUAGGCUGGUUUUCCAGGCAAAUCCGGAAAAUCAAGGCUGAGGCGUGAUGACGAGGCACUACGGUGCUGAAGCAACAAAUGCCCUGCUUCCAGGAAAAGCCUC
rnacentral:rRNA from 1 species